rnacentral:ribozyme from 1 species
GCUGCUCUGAUAAACACACACCUUUUUGUGGUGAGCAGCAGACAACGAUCUAAGAAGGUAUGAAUCUUGAUUGGCUGAGAUGUGA